GCAGGCUUAUGCCUGCAUUUCCUGAAUUAAAAGUUAUACAUCAGCUACUGAAGUGAUAUCCUGACACCGGUGAAGUAAGUGACAAGACUCCCAUUAAUUCCAAUAGGGCCAGGAUUUCAGCCUUGAAAUCUGUCCCGAGAGUGCUGCUGUGCUUGUUUUCAUUUUAUAACAACUUCAUAGCUCAACUGUUAAACAACGAGAUCUUAGAAAACUCAGAUUGUCAUUGGUUAAAAAAAAAAA